GGUAAUGUUAUAGACUUGGCUUUAGAGCAGAUAGUUGGUUUUUCGGAAUGGAAGAAUGCAAUAUAACACAAGAUAAUUUAGCACCCAAUGCUAUUUAGAAUCAAUGUCUCUCUAAUUUUCUUGGUAUUCAUAGGUUCUUAAAUGAAAGUUGUUGAGUUUGUUACGUUAGCUAUAUCACUUCGUGUGUUGAUGCAUAAACUGUCCAGUAUCUAUUGUUUAUGGCUAAGACUGCUGUAAUACCUAAACCUGACCAAUGCAUUUAUAUGGUGUCUGUACGAUGCAAGAGGCUUAGAAACAUAGAUUAAGAUUUGACAUUAUAGCGUAUAGAGAAAAAGAAAAAAAAAAU
rnacentral:misc_RNA from 1 species